rnacentral:rRNA from 1 species
AAGAGAGGAGCUUGCUCUUCUUGGAUGAGUUGCGAACGGGUGAGUAACGCGUAGGUAACCUGCCUUGUAGCGGGGGAUAACUAUUGGAAACGAUAGCUAAUACCGCAUAACAAUGGAUGACACAUGUCAUUUAUUUGAAAGGGGCAAUUGCUCCACUACAAGAUGGACCUGCGUUGUAUUAGCUAGUAGGUGAGGUAACGGCUCACCUAGGCGACGAUACAUAGCCGACCUGAGAGGGUGAUCGGCCACACUGGGACUGAGACACGGCCCAGACUCCUACGGGAGGCAGCAGUAGGGAAUCUUCGGCAAUGGGGGCAACCCUGACCGAGCAACGCCGCGUGAGUGAAGAAGGUUUUCGGAUCGUAAAGCUCUGUUGUAAGUCAAGAACGAGUGUGAGAGUGGAAAGUUCACACUGUGACGGUAGCUUACCAGAAAGGGACGGCUAACUACGUGCCAGCAGCCGCGGUAAUACGUAGGUCCCGAGCGUUGUCCGGAUUUAUUGGGCGUAAAGCGAGCGCAGGCGGUUUGAUAAGUCUGAAGUUAAAGGCUGUGGCUCAACCAUAGUUCGCUUUGGAAACUGUCAAACUUGAGUGCAGAAGGGGAGAGUGGAAUUCCAUGUGUAGCGGUGAAAUGCGUAGAUAUAUGGAGGAACACCGGUGGCGAAAGCGGCUCUCUGGUCUGUAACUGACGCUGAGGCUCGAAAGCGUGGGGAGCGAACAGGAUUAGAUACCCUGGUAGUCCACGCCGUAAACGAUGAGUGCUAGGUGUUGGAUCCUUUCCGGGAUUCAGUGCCGCAGCUAACGCAUUAAGCACUCCGCCUGGGGAGUACGACCGCAAGGUUGAAACUCAAAGGAAUUGACGGGGGCCCGCACAAGCGGUGGAGCAUGUGGUUUAAUUCGAAGCAACGCGAAGAACCUUACCAGGUCUUGACAUCCCGAUGCUAUUUCUAGAGAUAGAAAGUUACUUCGGUACAUCGGUGACAGGUGGUGCAUGGUUGUCGUCAGCUCGUGUCGUGAGAUGUUGGGUUAAGUCCCGCAACGAGCGCAACCCCUAUUGUUAGUUGCCAUCAUUCAGUUGGGCACUCUAGCGAGACUGCCGGUAAUAAACCGGAGGAAGGUGGGGAUGACGUCAAAUCAUCAUGCCCCUUAUGACCUGGGCUACACACGUGCUACAAUGGUUGGUACAACGAGUUGCGAGUCGGUGACGGCAAGCUAAUCUCUUAAAGCCAAUCUCAGUUCGGAUUGUAGGCUGCAACUCGCCUACAUGAAGUCGGAAUCGCUAGUAAUCGCGGAUCAGCACGCCGCGGUGAAUACGUUCCCGGGCCUUGUACACACCGCCCGUCACACCACGAGAGUUUGUAACACCCGAAGUCGGUGAGGUAACCUUUUGGAGCCAGCCGC